rnacentral:rRNA from 1 species
UACGUAGGGGGCAAGCGUUGUCCGGAAUCAUUGGGCGUAAAGCGCGUGUAGGCGGCCCGAUAAGUCCGCUGUGAAAGUCCAGGGCUCAACCCUGGAAUGCCGGUGGAUACUGUCGGGCUAGAGUCCGGAAGAGGCGAGUGGAAUUCCCGGUGUAGCGGUGAAAUGCGCAGAUAUCGGGAGGAACACCAAUGGCGAAGGCAGCUCGCUGGGACGGUACUGACGCUGAGACGCGAAAGCGUGGGGAGCAAACAGG